rnacentral:rRNA from 1 species
AUUGAACGCUGGCGGCAGGCUUAACACAUGCAAGUCGAGCGGAGAUGAGGUGCUUGCACCUUAUCUUAGCGGCGGACGGGUGAGUAAUGCUUAGGAAUCUGCCUAUUAGUGGGGGACAACAUUCCGAAAGGAAUGCUAAUACCGCAUACGUCCUACGGGAGAAAGCAGGGGAUCUUCGGACCUUGCGCUAAUAGAUGAGUCUAAGUCGGAUUAGCUAGUUGGUGGGGUAAAGGCCUACCUAGGCGACGAUCUGUAGCGGGUCUGAGAGGAUGAUCCGCCACACUGGGACUGAGACACGGCCCAGACUCCUACGGGAGGCAGCAGUGGGGAAUAUUGGACAAUGGGGGGAACCCUGAUCCAGCCAUGCCGCGUGUGUGAAGAAGGCCUUAUGGUUGUAAAGCACUUUAAGCGAGGAGGAGGCUACUGAGACUAAUACUCUUGGAUAGUGGACGUUACUCGCAGAAUAAGCACCGGCUAACUCUGUGCCAGCAGCCGCGGUAA